ensembl:lncRNA uncharacterized LOC114798781
GACGUUUCGUAUCAGCGAUGGAACCGAACCAUCUACGUUUAUUUGAAGGCGAUUGCCGACUCGUUAACGCAAGAUGUGACUGAACACGCCGGCAUGUCUAGCGGUUGUUGGAGCGAUAGAGCCGUCGGACUGGAGGGGGACGCGUGACGUCCCUUCCCGAAUGCGCAGGAAAGGGCGUCCCGCCCUCCGAGAUGCGCUCCUCAAACGGCCGCCGCGCUCGACCCUGCCGGCCGGCGUCCGAGUGCGACCACGCCGCGCUCACUCGCCAGCGGGAGUACUGGAGGAUCAAGAAGCGGCAGCAGAGGGCCAAGCUGUCGGCCGCCAAGAAGUGCGCGUCUCGCGCCCCCGAUGCCAACGUGAAUGCCGACGCGUGCCAAGCCGACAUAUGCCAUUCGGCCAGCGAAGACGACCAUGUCCCAGCGCCGCCUCCCGGGACGCAUUUUCCGCAGAAGACUAAGCCGAGCCACGGAUCAAAGUCCGCGGAGGCGUCCGGGGGCCUACACUCCCACAGGCCCCCGCCCGAUCCCGGCGCGUCGCCGUCUCACGGCCACUGGGCUCCGAGCAGAAGCCCGGCCGCCGCCAACGUGCUGUCUCAGCAAGACCGCAACAGGCCUCAGGUCAGAAACCACGUGCAGGCAGACCCCGCCCCCUCCGGGUCCGUCGCCGCGUCCGGCACGGGCGCCAAGCGCUGCCCCCUGCGGAGCCGCGGCGUGGGCGCGCGGGCCCAGGAGAACGUGCUGGCGGCGCCCGAGCCGCAGGAGGAGGCGGCCGCCAGGCGCCGGGAGGUCUGGCGCCUGAAGAAGCGGGAGCAGCGGGCCAAAAUGGCCGCGGAGAGGGAGCGGGCGCGGCCGCCCGACACGCGCCCGUCGUCGGGAAGAGCGCGCGGGCGAGGCGUGCGUCCACGCGCCCCUGCCGGUGGACCUCAGGGGAGACACCGGACGCCGGCAGCGUCCACCGAGGCCGCGGACAAGAAGACCGCUGCGGUUAAUCGAACUACUUUCAGGCCCGGUCGGACCAGAGCGAUCUUCCAGGCGUCCUUGGUGAACGGUCUCGCUCCGGAUCUAACCAAAGCACAAAGACCGAGGUCCGCGGGGGCCGAGAGCGCUCACAGGAACCCGGGUUCGGAUGAGGAAAGGCUGGCCAAGCAAAGGGAAUACUGGCGCGUCAAGAAACGCCUGCAGAGGGCGAAGCGGUCAAGGGAGGCGAAGAGCAGGACGAAGGAGACAACGCGCUCGAGCGAUCGGGACCUCUUGGGCGCGGAACGCCAAGCAGGCGCGCGGGGCGCGCCGACGCUUCCGGGACCAGCCUCAGACGCUAUUGGCGGCUUCAUCAAGGAAGAUGGCACCGUGACCGCAGCAGCCCCCCAGUCUUCUCCGAGCACCAAGUGGCUCCUCCCCGUUUCUGGUGACCAGGUCAGUCCGGAUGACGGUAGGCAAGUACAAAUCGGCUCUCUGCCUCUGUACCAAAAUGCCGUGGCAGGAUCAGUCCAAAGAGCUGCUGAAAAUGCCAACCACUCGAUGGCCUUUGUGGGUUCUAAUAGCAGCUUCAAUGGGUUUCCCCUCACUGGCCCUGGAUCAGUAAGGGAACUAACUGAAGAGGAAAGCAUCGCCAUGAAACGAGAAUACUGGCGGAUGAAGAAGCAGCAGUACAGAGCCAGCCGUGCUGCUCGACUGAGACAUGGUCUUCUACGAACCAGGGGUCAUCUUUUUCUCACAGCAAAGAGGAGGUCACAUCUCCAUAUCUCGGCUCCUGGAGCUCAUUUUCCUGUCCGUUAUACCAAUGGUGGUCCUUCAGCCUCUUGUCCCACCCAUGUUAAGGUUGACCCAAUCUCCAGUACAAACUCACCUCCAGCGGAAGGUUUAAUAGAGGAACAGGUAUCGCAGACCAUGAAAGAAGACUUGAGUGCUUUUUCACAACGAACCAUCAAUGAAGACGUCAGACCUGGGUCCUCUCCACCCCCUGGGCCCCGGGAGGAGACAGGCCAGAAGGCAAGUGCGGACACGCAGGCGACUACUCUCAUGGCUGUGGCCUCCAUGAAGAAGCUUCUGGAAGACUCUCUUAGUGCAGUAGUGAACUGUGAAAGUCCAGAGAUCUUCAUCAAGACCGAGCAGACCCCUUGCAAGACUGAAGAAGACGUUUGUCACUUUGGAGGUCCAACACAGCCAGAAGAUAAACCUGACUUUCCUUCCCCGUCUGGGGAGUGUCAUGUCACUAGAUCCAGAGCCCAAGCCAGCGGAGACAAGGGUCAACAGACACGUGUUCAUGUUAGUCCAUCCUACCAGACCACCAGGAAUUCUGCUUUUGUAGCGUCCUCCAGACAUUCCCAGAGGAAUGUCUCUACUCUGUCCAAGGCUCCUUCUUUACCAGGCCGAACCUGGCGCUUCUGUACUAAAAAAGACCUCCGUAGACGCGUCGCCACUGCAGAGUCUGACGAGACCAGCGUUCUGCAGCAGAGGGAGUACUGGAAGCUUAAGAAGAGACAGCAGAGGGCAAGGAAGGCCAGACAGAAGCAAGAUGUUCAGGGGGACCAACGUUGUCCAGCACAGCCUGGACAUGCUCUCAGCACGACGAGUCCGCAGUCCUUGGGCGUUCCUUGGCACAGUCCUCUCAGCACGUUGGGUGAGAAGGUGCAUGCCGGAGAGGUCGCUUCCAGCUCCAGCGGUGCAGGCGAAGGCGCAGCUUUGGCCGUCCAUCCGGGCGAGAAGGUCGGCAGCCUCGGGUGCCAUAAAUCACAGCAGCCCCACAAACCCGCGGCGCCGGACGAGGAGGACGAGGACACCUUGCAGAGGAAGAGGGAGUACUGGAGGGUAAAAAAGAAGGAACAAAGGGCCAGGAAGGCGGCCCGGACCAGAGAACUGAGACGCCUGAUGGAGCCAGGCCACUGCAAGCCGUCCCUCCCGCAGGAUUUUACCCACAACCUGGGAUCUCAGGGCCCGGACUCAAGCCGGUGGACGAGCGCCUCCAAGGACCCAGACGUUCCGUUCAGCUCGUUGACGGAGCCAGAGCUGAACUACUGGCUGGACCCGUGCAAGGACGCCGCCGUCAAAGAUGAGGCAGACGUGAGGCAGGAGGACCACAGUUUUGAUAUCGGCGCAGACGGCGCCAUCUCUCAGACCACGUGGAGGAACCAGUUUCUCAUGGACUACGACCUGUCCAACCAGCUGCUGGUGUGCAUGGUGUGCGGAGAGCAGCAGUACCUGCAGAGCCUCGAGGGGGUCAGGAGACACAUAGAGGACACCCAUCCGGACACGUUCGCCUUGGAGCCCGAGGGACGGGAAAGGUUCUUACAGGCCUGGGAUGAGCAAGUGGCCAUGAGAGAGAAGUUCUUCACCAGCCAGCUCCAGAAGCACACCGCACGCAUGACAGAGAACGUAGCUGAGGUGGAAGUGACGGUGAACCUGGAGGACGCGGCCCAACCAAAACACAACAGGUCCCCCGGAACGAAGUACCUGAACAAACUCUGA